rnacentral:misc_RNA from 1 species
UGCUAUGCCCAGUGAGUUGAUU